rnacentral:rRNA from 1 species
UACGGGGGGGGCAAGCGUUGUUCGGAAUUACUGGGCGUAAAGGGCUCGUAGGCGGCCAACUAAGUCAUACGUGAAAGCCCGGGGCCCAACCCCGGAACUGCAUCUGAAACUGCCUGGCUAGAGUCCCGGAGAGGAAGGCAGAAUUCCCGGUGUAGGGGUGAAAUCCGUAGAUAUCUGGAGGAACACCGGUGGCGAAGGCGGCAUCCUGGACCGGCAUUGACGCUGAGGCGCGAAAGCCAGGGGAGCAAACGGG